AAUUUUGGUCAAUGGUGGAGACCCUGACCCAGCCAGGCCUCUUUAUUUAAUAAGGCCUUCGGUUUGUAAAUAACUUUUGGCAGAAAAAAAAAGGUACCUCCUAAUACGAGGUACUGCUGACGGUAGCUGCAGAUGAUGUACCGGCUAACGCCGUGCCAGCAACCGCGGAAAGAUGUAGGGUGCAAGCGUUAAUCGGAAUUACUGGGCGUAAAGCGUGUGUAGGCGGUUCGGAAAGAAAGAUGUGAAAUCCCAGGGCUCAACCUUGGAACGGCAUUUUUAACUGCCGAGCUAGAGUAUGUCAGAGGGGGGUAGAAUUCCACGUGUAGCAGUGAAAUGCGUAGAUAUGUGGAGGAAUACCGAUGGCGAAGGCAGCCCCCUGGGAUAAUACUGACGCUCAGACACGAAAGCGUGGGGAGCAAACAG
rnacentral:rRNA from 1 species